UACGUAGGGCGCAAGCGUUGUCCGGAAUUAUUGGGCGUAAAGAGCUCGUAGGCGGUCUGUUGCGUCCGCUGUGAAAACUCGGGGCUUAACCCCGAGCCUGCAGUGGAUACGGGCAGACUAGAGGUAGGUAGGGGAGAAUGGAAUUCCCGGUGUAGCGGUGAAAUUCGUAGAUAUCAGGAGGAACACCAGUGGCGAAGGCGGCUUCCUGGACACCAACUGACGCUGAGACGCGAAAGCGUGGGGAGCAAACAGG
rnacentral:rRNA from 1 species